GGGGAAGAACCCGAAUGUGCCCGGUAGGACGAGCGGACGCAGCGAAUGGCCAGGCGCCGAUCCACCAUGAUGCCGACGUUUAAACCCCGGUCGAACGGUUGGUUCGCAUAGCAAACGCACAGCAAAUGCGCGUUACGUCCGCCAUUUUACCGACGGCAGUGGAACAAAGCAGAAUAGAAAUGGUAGCGAUUAAAAUGUUUUUGCUGCGGAAAUGUAUUAUGCAAUCUUUUGUACACUAUUCUACGCUGUUAAAAUCAAUGAAAUAAAACCGUGAACAUGAGGCACAGGUA